UCCGGUUUGACACCGGCAGUCCCGUUAGAGUCCUCAGCAUUACCUGUUAGCAACUAACGGUAGGGGUUUCGCUCGUUAAGGGACUUAACCCGACACUUCACAGCACGAGCUGACGACAGCCAUGCAGCACCUGUGCAUGUUCCACGGCAAGCCGCGUCACCCCUGUUUCCAGGAGCUAAUCCAUGCAUGUCAAACCCUGGUAAGGUUCUUCGCGUUGCUUCGAAUUAAGCCACAUGCUCCACCGCUUGUGUGAGCCCCCGUCAAUUCCUUUGAGUUUUAGCCUUGCGACCGUACUCCCCAGGCGGUGCACUUAUCAUUUUAACUUCGGCCCCGAUGGAGUCAGAUCCUCCGAGACCUAGUGCACAUCGUUUACGGCGUGGACUAC
rnacentral:misc_RNA from 1 species